rnacentral:rRNA from 1 species
AUUGAACGCUGGCGGCAUGCUUUACACAUGCAAGUCGAACGGUAACAGGCCGCAAGGUGCUGACGAGUGGCGAACGGGUGAGUAAUGCAUCGGAACGUGCCCAGUCGUGGGGGAUAACGCAGCGAAAGCUGUGCUAAUACCGCAUACGAUCUAUGGAUGAAAGCGGGGGACCGUAAGGCCUCGCGCGAUUGGAGCGGCCGAUGUCAGAUUAGGUAGUUGGUGGGGUAAAGGCCUACCAAGCCGACGAUCUGUAGCUGGUCUGAGAGGACGACCAGCCACACUGGGACUGAGACACGGCCCAGACUCCUACGGGAGGCAGCAGUGGGGAAUUUUGGACAACGGGCGCAAGCCUGAUCCAGCAAUGCCGCGUGCGGGAAGAAGGCCUUCGGGUUGUAAACUGCUUUUGUACGGAACGAAACGGCCUGGGUUAAUACCCUGGGCUAAUGACGGUACCGUAAGAAUAAGCACCGGCUAACUACGUGCCAGCAGCCGCAGUAAGAC